rnacentral:rRNA from 1 species
AGUGAACGCUGGCGGCGUGCCUAACACAUGCAAGUCGAACGAUGAUGGAGGAGCUUGCUCUUCCUGAUUAGUGGCGCACGGGUGAGUAUACCAUAGAUAAUGUACCCCUUAGUUUGGGAUAGCCCCUGGAAACGGUGAUUAAUACCAGAUACUCCUUCUUGUCCUAAGGCAAGUCGGGAAAGUUUUUUCGCUAAGGGAUCAGUCUAUGUCCUAUCAGCUAGUUGGUGAGGUAAUGGCUCACCAAGGCUAUGACGGGUAUCUGGUUUGAGAGGAUGAUCAGACACACUGGAACUUAGACACGGUCCAAACUCCUACGGGAGGCAGCAGUGAGGAAUAUUGCACAAUGGAGGAAACUCUGAUGCAGCAACGCCGCGUGGAGGAUGACGCAUUUCGGUGUGUAAACUCCUUUUAAGAGGGAAGAUAAUGACGUUACCUCUGGAAUAAGCACCGGCUAACUCCGUGCCAGCCGCCGCCGUAA